GCAGGUAGUCUCCCCACUUACCGGCUCCUCCACAUUUAGCUCCUUAGAUGCCAACUUGAACGUCUCGUUUUUCUUCUGGAACACGUCAAUGGCGUCCCGGAUGACCUGGAGAACAAAUGUGAAGUUCAUAUUUUCCCACACCAGGAUGUGGACCAACCAGUGUCCGAUGCAGUCUUCCAGGUCAGGCAGCAGGAACUGACUGUGGAAGGAGUAGAUAGAUGAAAUGUUGGAGAAGAUGUUUCGGACCACGUCGGCCGGAAAGGAGCCACGUCCGGCCUCGUCCGUUAAUUGCAGACAGAAAACCUGCAAAGGGAAUACUGGUGUAAGACUUUUCAAGACCAUAGACUUUCAAGACCCCCCCCACUGACCUGGUCCAGGAGGUGAAGGCGGGCAACGUAGGCCCUCUCCGUGUGAAGGAGUUCACUGACUAUUUUGAACAGCUUUUGCUCCGUGUUCUCCUCCUUUAGCCCCUCAGUCUUCUUCUCAACGCUCUCCUUGCAGUUUUGGUCUUCACGUGGAGUCUCAGUCCAUUUGCAAGAGAACCGGGAUCCCACGCGGACCUUGGAGCCUUCAUCGGCACGGAUGGGAUCGGUUUGUAGGUUCGGAGUGACUUCGCGCUCGGUGCGAUUGAGUCUCUGGUCCGUUGGGGCUUUGACGGUGAUGGUGGGUCGACUGCGCAAGGCAGAACCUUCUGCCAUAUCCGAUGGAGUUCUGGAAAAACGAACCUGGCGUUAUUGAGUCGCAGUGCGAGAAAGAACUGAAUCGCAAAUCGCAGGCCAGAGUUAUUGUCAUGACGGACAGUAACAGUUCUGGACCAAAAGAAAUACCGCGACUUAAGAGUCGAAUGAAAGUUUUGUACAAAAAUCAAGAAGUAGACUCUAUAAAACCAAAAAUCCAACCUUUCAUCCAAGUACACGAUGAGAUCCGGCACACUCAAAGACUUCCCAGAGUGCUUCUUUUGUCCCUCAGUCUUCCCGCUUGGGAUCCUGUUCAAUCCCAGCCAGGAUUUUGAGUUACUGGCAGGGGUGUAGCUGCCCAUCUUUCCCUGAAUGGGGCUCGGGGUUUUCAGUAGUCCUGAGAGGGGGCUUCGGUUUUUCGGGGACAACUUGGCCGGACUGUGGCCUCCCUCCCUCAAGGGACUGCAUUUGUGGAUACCUCUCUUGCCCGAACUUGGAGACAACAAUGCCGGACUGCUCGCAAGUUUGGGGAUCUUCUGAGAAGGGGACAGGCUGGUAGGGCUUAAACGUGGCUCACUGAGAAAACCCGGUCCCAGUUUGUUAGGACUACGGCACAUGUGGUAGCAUGUCGCUUGGGUCGGCGUGUUGUCUUCAUUCAAAUGCCAUGGGGGGAGCCCAGAUGAAGACGGUAGUCCACUCCUCAUUGGAGUCUGGAGGUGCGCAGGCUUUGGAGGCACUGCAAGUACACAGAAAGCAUCUCAUGUCAGAAUCGACUCUGUUGAGCUCAAAGCAGACUUGAGCUCACCUUGUGGCUUGCAGGGAGUUUUCUUGGAUGGACUUAUUCCAUCUUGGCGUUUGGAAUUGGGCGCUGAUUCGCAGGUGCUGUUGCAAGAACCGCCGCUUACCACUGAAAUAAACGUGCACCGUUUUA